UCUUAUGGUCCCUGUGUUUUCCAGUUCCAGUGUUGACUUGUGACAGUGACAGUCACUUACUUUUCUGCUCCACGUGUUUUAGUUUGGACUGUUUUGGAUUUUUUUAAUGGACAUAUCUUCAGUCUAGCCAGCAGUUAGUGAUAAACGUCAGCCCUCUACGUGUUCAGGUCAAUGGCAAUGUAAAAUCUACAGAUACAUCUGCAAAAUAUCCCUGCAGUGGCCCAUUCAUCUGUUUCUGGUUGUCUGUGAGCACCAUGAAGCAGGAGUGACUCUGUACCAGACAGGAGGGACAGUCUGCUGCACAUGAAGGCACCUCGUUGCAUUUCAAUACUCAGUCUUUGGGUUUCCUCCAGACUUCCUUCGUUUCUUCUUAGUCUCUUCCCCUCUGAUAUCCUCAGCGCCUGGCCAAAAAAGUGCUGACUCUCGGCAAAGGAUGCUCAAAGACAGCCAAAUUUGAGCAGAAAAACUUAUCCGCUCUCUUGAUUAAAUCCAGUGAGAUUAUUGAAUAAGAUUCCAGCAGGCUUAAUUGCCACGGAUGGUCAUGGAAAGGGAAAAUAUAGGCAAAAGCCACAUCCAAACAGCUUCUAAACAAGGUGUCAGAGUUAUAAAGCUUCAGCAGCUGGUGUAGUAUCACCGACUUGAAAGCCUAUAAAGUCAUCCAUGAAACAAUGCCGAGUUGAUACGUAAUGAGUGUAAAUAUUUGCACUCAUUAUAAAUCUAAUAAA